rnacentral:rRNA from 1 species
AGCAGCCGCGGUAAUUCCAGCUCCAAUAGCGUAUAUUAAAGUAGUUGCAGUUAAGAAGCUCGUAGUUGAAUUUCGGGGUUAGUAGGUUGGUCAUGCCUCUGGUAUGUACUGGUCUCACUGAUUCCUCCUUCCUGAUGAGCCGUAAUGCCAUUAAUUUGGUGUUGCGGGGAAUUUGGACUGUUACUUUGAAAAAAUUAGAGUGUUUAAAGCAAGCUAACGCUUGAAUACAUUAGCAUGGAAUAAUGAAAUAGGACGUUCGAUCCUAUUUUGUUGGUUUCUAGGAUUGACGUAAUGAUUAAUAGGGAUAGUUGGGGGCAUUAGUAUUCAAUUGUCAGAGGUGAAAUUCUUGGAUUUAUUGAAGACUAACUACUGCGAAAGCAUUUGCCAAGGAUGUUUUCAUUAAUCAAGAACGAAAGUUAGGGGAUCGAAGACGAUCAGAUACCGUCGUAGUCUUAACCAUAAACUAUGCCGAUUAGGGAUCGGAAGAUGUUAAUUUUUUAAUGACUCA